rnacentral:rRNA from 1 species
UACGGGGGGGGGCAAGCGUUGUUCGGAAUUACUGGGCGUAAAGGGCUCGUAGGCGGCCAACUAAGUCCGACGUGAAAUCCCAAGGCUUAACCUUGGAACUGCGUCGGAUACUGGAUGGCUUGAAUUCGGGAGAGGGAUGCAGAAUUCCAGGUGUAGCGGUGAAAUGCGUAGAUAUCUGGAGGAAUACCGGUGGCGAAGGCGGCAUCCUGGACCGACAUUGACGCUGAUGAGCGAAAGCUAGGGGAGCAAACGGG